GCCAAAGAUGUGUAUAACACCCGAGAGGUGACCAGAUUUAGUUGUCCUAUAAAUCUGAAGCUAUAUGGGCCAACCCACGCAGUCUGUGAGGGACCCGGGUGGACACCAUCCACCAGUCCCUUUUGCCUGGAAAUUCCCUGUGGCCAACCUACAAUUCCGCAUGCCACAAUUCAAUCUAAGCCAGGGGCUCCCCCAGGCUCUAGAGAACUUGUUGUCAAUUGCGAUCCAGGUUACAUGCCCCUAGAUGGGACCACCUUGACAUGCGAAGGCAGAGGUGUUUGGAAACUGCCCCUUCCUGAAUGUGUUGCCUCAAAACCAGGAAAUGAUGGGCACUCCUAUGUGACACCAGGUAUAUCUGAGGCACCCGAGGUUCCCACAUCGUCAGACAUGAGCACCACCACCUGGAGCACCCGAAAGUUAACCAGUAACACUCCACCCGACCCUGAAGUGCAAACCCUGGGUAGCUAUGAAUAUGAACCCGAUGAACCCGUCUAUCCCACCAGCCCCCAAACUGCCUCUACGGCGUCCCCAGUCACUCAGACGGUACCACCGCCCAAAAAGUCAUCCUUAAUGAUGGUCUUUAAAUUGCUGGGCCUUCUCCUAAUAAUUCCUCUUUUAAUUGUCAGUGUAGCAGUUUUGGGCUUCCUGAUAACCAGAUGUUGCAGACUCUGAAGUGCUGACUCGGCGUGGGUGGUUACUUUCUGUUUCCCAUGACUCACAUGUUUGGCAGCAAGCUUGUCAGACAGUUGGAAAAGCAUACUUUUUUGUUGCCUGGGUUUCAUCCUAGAUUAUAAAAUCCCAAUUCUCCUCAUGCUAGUCGCGUCCUCUCUGCUUUUGGACACUCAUCAUGGAGACAACCAAUGUCUGCUCCCAGGCUCCUCUUGGACCCGCUGGUUACAUCUAUUACCAGCUUGUGGAUGACUUUCCUCUAGAGGAGGCAUCCCUUCUAUCCACCAACUUCACUUCAGCCAAAGCCUGUCUUUUACCUCUGGUAACAGGCUUGACCGUGGAACCUGGAUUUAAUUUCAAUGUCAAGGCACCGUGUCAGAAAAUCAUGUUUGAGUCUCUGACCGUUAAGCCUACAAAAUACUUCAACCAUGCCAUCGUCUUUCACAACAGUAACAAGAUUCCCCCAAUUUUUCAUGGACGUGGCCUGGAACAGCUCUGUGAGGCCACUAGGCUCAUGUUUGGCUUUUCCAGCUUUAAGCCUGAUGCUUCUAAAGGACAAUGGAAAAGCAGCACCCACCUACCACAAAAUCCAGAAAAAUAUAUUGGCUGGGUAGUGGUGGCGGAGAGUUUUAAAGAGCGCCUGAUCUGUGGGGAGUUGGCCAUGUUGUCAGCACCCAUGAAAACUGUGACCAUAAACAACAAACUCUGCUUCAAAGUACCCCUACAUGAUACCAGAUUUCUAAGCUCUGACCAGCUACUGCCCUUCUAUGAUGAAAAUGUCAGCAGGAUCAUGUAUGAGAGCUACUACACCAACGUGGCCCAAGCUGUGCGCAUUCGAGAUGUCACUGGACUGAUAGAAGCCCUGCAGGAAAGAGCUGUUACAGAACAGUACAAAACAGCAAAAUUGGCAAGUCUGAAAACAUAUCCUGCAGAAAACUGCGGUGCCGGCAACCUAGAAUAUGCUGUCAUUGACGCUGCAGUGUCUGAACUGGCCGUCAGCCACGGUCUUGCUUUCCUGGAAGCACCUCAGGAGGAGUCUCCCAUCCAGAACUAUGUCCAGUGGCCCAUGUUUUCAGAAGAUGCUACCCCAGAAGGAAGAAUUAAAGCCCUCCAGGAAUGGAAUGCCAAGAUGGCCAUCCACGUCCACGCUCAAGUCCUCAGUGCCAACUCUGUCCUGUACGUGACCAAAGUUGGGCAGUCUGCAGGAAAGGCUGUUGGGGGGAAACAAGAUGACAUGUUCCUGGGCCGCUACUAUAUGCAGCAUGGACUGGGCCACCUCAAUGUGCAAACUAGGGAUGAGAACAACACCGUGGUGUUCCCAGGCGUGCCAGAUUCCUGCAUGAAUGGGUCCCAGUACACUGUACAUCAUCUUGCCUAUGCUGCCUCCAUGUCUCCCCAUAUUCUUGCCCGGCUCUGCUACUAUCUUCAGAUGUGUCAAAACCAGCGGCUAGCCUCCACGCCUCAGGGCACUACCGUGCCUGCCUACGUGACCACCACAGCCAACACUUCCAUGUGUGAUCUUUGUGGAGGGGACCUCCCAGCCGUGUGCCUCCACACCCUCUUUUUUCGUCUGAGGGACAGAUUUCCUCAGGUGCUGGCCACGCAGAAGCGUGACCCUUAUGUGGUAACCGGGAUAGCUGGGCCCCACAAUGACAUGGAGAUUCUUGGAAACUUUGGAAGUUUCAAAGAAAAAGAUGAUGACCAGGAGAAUGGACAGAGAUACUCAUAUUGGCAACUAAAUGCCAACUUAACUGAAAGGCUGGAAGAGAUUGGGGUAACAGCUUCCACGCCAGCGUGUCAGCUGAUCACAGACGUAGACUCUUUUUUGACGGUCUUCAAAAAGAUUGAUGCCAUCGUGGACGAGGAGACCAUCAGGUUUAAUGAUGGACUUGUGAGAAAUAACAUCAACUACAAAGAAUCUGUCAAGUCUAUUGCCCACGUGCUACAACUGCAGUGUAACACCAACUGGCUGCCACCGUGCCCAAUCAUCCAUAACCUAUUUACCAGGUCCUUCUUCACCAUACUCCAGGACAUGUCAUUCCCUCUCUGUGUCACCCACCACACAGAAAAUCCUCUCAACUAUGGGACAGUCAGUACCUGGAUGUCCAACCAUUUCCAGAACCUAUGGAGCAACUUCAAGUCUAUCUGGUUUGACAAGGGGCUGCUCACUUGCAGUGACAUGCGAGUAGUCCACACUGAAACCAGCUCUGAUAUGGAAAACCUGGCUGCAGACCUCCCCAAGCAAAGAUGCGCCAUUAGAUUGUCCAGAGCCCAGAUCUUUGCGCCCAAGGCCCUGAAGAUAAAAAACAGGAUCAUCUUUUCCAACUCUUCCAGCACAGAAUCCCUGUCUGCCAGCUUCGUGAAAGCUGGGAAGGCAGAGAACCCCAUCACUGCCGGUCCCUACAUGCACUUCCUAACACAGCUCCAUAAACAGCUGUUCCCCACAACCAAAACUGGGGCCUAUUACAUCUGGCAAACCUUCAUGUCCAGCAAAAAACUUCCACAGGCAGGUUCCACCAAUGCUAAAAAACUCUCAGAGUUUAUUUCCUAUCUCAUGACCAGCAGUCUAGCACACGAUGAGGUCAAUGUGCUAGACUACGUACCAACCACCCUCAUGGCCUACGCGAAGCAGCGACUCAACAAUGCCAUCUUGCGGCUAUGUGGGCAAACGCAGUUCUAUGCCACCACCAUAAACUUUCUACAACCCACAAUCCUUUCCAUGCCCAGCCUGGACUAUCCGCAUGUGGCUGGUCCCGUUCCUGUGCAAGAUUUGACAACAUACAUGGACAUGACUCGGGACCAGUCUGCCACAGUGAUCCAGAGCUCAUGCAGAGAAGAUCCAGCCGCGGUGUGUAAGAUGCGCCCCAUCGUGACAAUACCCAUGAUGGUUAACAAAUAUUCAGGCUCUAAUGGGAAUAAUUCUAUUUUUCAAAGUGGUAACAUGGGUUAUUUCAUGGGCAGGGGGGUUGAUAGAAAGUUGUUGCCAGAUAUCCCUAGGAUGAGAAAGCAUGUCAACACCUCUAUGAGGAGAAGAUAUGCCUUUGCUUCCCCCAUGACAGAGAGUCUCUUGACCCAGCCAGGUAAGGGUACUGUCCGCACCUAUCAGCUGGAAAAAACUAGAAAGAUUAUUCACGAUAUCAUAGCAUCUGGGAAUGCUGAGCCUGAGAACCUGGUUUUAGAGUUGGUAAAAUGUUUAGGGCACGAAUGUGCAACACUAACUUCAGAUGAUGUGGAAUUCUAUCUGGGAGAGUUUUCAUUUAUGGUGAAUGAUGUCAUGGAGGUUCUCGAAACCUUGAAGGCUUCGGGGUGUGCCUUCAGUGAGGAGAGCGUACAGGCUUUGCUUCCAACUUCAAGUCCAGGUACAUCAGAGUCAUUUGUAGAAGUGACAGACAAUAUUAUAACUAGUCUUCCAGAAAUUUCUGUUACUCAGUUCACUGCUGCUCCCCCAAAACGCAGACGCAUUGCUACUUUUGAGGAUAUAGAUUUAUAAUGUCUAAGGAAGUGGCUGUACUCUAUGCUCAAAUUUAUGGAUUAUGCAUGGACCUCAGCCUGGUACCAUACAUGGACCCUAGCAGCCUAAAUCUUAGAUCCAUCUCCAAUAAUUAUCACAAGCUCUGUCAGAUUCAAAAAAUAAUUGGUGGCCAACUUCUAGAAAAUAAUACCCAAACACCUUGCGCUCUCACGCUGGAACUUGAACACUUGCUCUGUAAUGCUGUAGAAUUGUGUAAAAGUGUACUCUCACAUGAAAAUACCUAUGAUCAUGUACUCUGUAGCAAACAGUGUGUUUUGGAUGUUAGUUGCCUUGCCUGCUUCUAUGGUGGAGAUACUGUGGAUAUACCAUUGGACACCAUCAAUAAAAUUGACAUGUUAUUCAAAAA
rnacentral:tmRNA from 1 species